GACAGUCGCCGCUUCGUCGUCGUCCUCUUCGGGGGAGACGGGCGGAGGGGAGGAAAGUCCGGGCUCCAUAGGGCAGGGUGCCAGGUAACGCCUGGGGGGGAAACCCACGACCAGUGCAACAGAGAGCAAACCGCCGAUGGCCCGCGCAAGCGGGAUCAGGUAAGGGUGAAAGGGUGCGGUAAGAGCGCACCGCGCGGCUGGUAACAGUCCGUGGCACGGUAAACUCCACCCGGAGCAAGGCCAAAUAGGGGUUCAUAAGGUACGGCCCGUACUGAACCCGGGUAGGCUGCUUGAGCCAGUGAGCGAUUGCUGGC
rnacentral:RNase_P_RNA from 1 species